rnacentral:tRNA from 1 species
GGUGUAGCUCAGCUGGGAGAGCACCUGCUUUGCAAGCAGGGGGUCGUCGGUUCGAGUCCGAUCACCUCCACCA